rnacentral:rRNA from 1 species
GAUGAACGCUGGCGGCGUGCCUAAUACAUGCCAGUCGAGCGAACAGACGAGGAGCUUACUCCUCUGACGUUAGCGGCGGACGGGUGAGUAACACGUGGAUAACCUACCUAUAAGACUGGGAUAACUUCGGGAAACCGGAGCUAAUACCGGAUAACAUGUUGAACCGCAUGGUUCAACAGUGAAAGACGGUCUUGCUGUCACUUAUAGAUGGAUCCGCGUCGCAUUAGCUAGUUGGUAAGGUAACGGCUUACCAAGGCAACGAUGCGUAGCCGACCUGAGAGGGUGAUCGGCCACACGGGAACUGAGACACGGUCCAGACUCCUACGGGAGGCAGCAGUAGGGAAUCUUCCGCAAUGGGCGAAAGCCUGACGGAGCAACGCCGCGUGAGUGAAGAAGGUCUUCGGAUCGUAAAACUCUGUUAUUAGGGAAGAACAAAUGUGUAAGUAACUAUGCACGUCUUGACGGUACCUAAUCAGAAAGCCACGGCUAACUACGUG